UACGGCUAUAUCACAGUGAAACACCAGUUGUCAUACGAUCACCGAAGUUAAGCAACGUCGCUUUUGUUCACUAUCAAGAUGGGUGCUCGCUUGGGAAUGGCAGGUUCUGUA